GCUUGCGGUCGAUGACGCCGGUGCGGCGUGGCCGGUGCGGGCGGCCCAUCAGGCCCGGUUCGGCGGGUUCGCGGCCCAGCGCAAGCGC
rnacentral:tRNA from 1 species